UAAAAAAAUAUUAUUUUAUUAUUUUAUCGAUUUGUGUCAAAUUUUGAACCAGUCCAAAUUGGGACCGGCAAAAUUUAUUAAUUUAUAGAGAUUAUUAAUUUAUCGAGUAUUAAUUUAUAGAGGUUCUACUGUAUAUUGUUUAGUGUGGAUAAAAUGAAUAACCAAGUAUGUAUAAGUCUAAUAAUGUAUAUAACUGAAAGAAAAAGGUUUGGUAUAUGAAAAUGAUGGAUGAAGUCAAUCUAUGAAAAAAUACUACUGUAACCAAUCAUUUCACCGAUCAUAUGAGUCACUUGGAUAGACUCGGUUUAGUAUGAAAUUUAUGCGAUGGAGUAUUUUAUUUGAUUAUAUUGGUGUUUACGUUACUGUUUUCAUAUUUAUAUAUUCAAAAUAGUUAGGUGGGUCACCAAAAUCGUAUGUAAAAUCCAGUGGCAUAAUAUAUGGAGUUAGUUAAGCUAUUUUCUUAUUUUAUAUACCAAUAACCAUAAGUGCAAAACAGAUUGUAUUAAUAUAACCAUAUUUACUAUUAAUAAAAUAAGGAGUAGGUCCAAAAAAGUUAAAAUAACAACCUUUUGUAAGUAGAAAAAAUAGGAUUUUAAUUUAAUAGAUUAGAUCCUCACAUAAAAAGUUAAUUAAUGAUUAAUCGACUGCAAAUCUUGCACUUACGAGCGAUACAUAGAGUAUAUAAAGUUAUAAACCAAAUCCAUAGAUAAUUUUGUCACAAUGGCUUAACAAAUUUUUUAACUAGUUGUUCUUGUUUGAUCGUCAACAUAGGAAAAAAUAUAACCGGAAUGUAGACAAAAAAAAGUAGACAAAACAUGGAUAGUAAAUAAUUUGUAACUAUUAAGAAAUUAACGAGAAAAUUUUAUUUUAUUUUCUUAUUAAACUGAUGAUUUCUUAAACAUGUGGAAAAGCAAAAACUAAUCUUUAAGUAGAGGUGCAACCCAUAGAUGGACAUUUUCUUCGAGUAUUUAAAUGGACCGUAACAACCGAGAGCUUGCCUGCUACUACACAACUAUCAUGUAGUUAACACAUUUUUUUUUCAACCACAAGCAAAUAGCAAGGAUAUAAUCCAUUGCUACUCGAUAUUGGCUAAUGACCUUUCAACAAUGCAUAUGGCUGUCGUUGAUUGAUAUUUUUAGAUAAUGUUAAAUUAAAUCAAAUACCAGAAAAAAUGUUUCAAAACAAAAUAAACGUACGUCAAUAUUUUUAAAAUAGAAAGAGAAUAAAACUAGUCAACCAGCCUUUUCGGAUUAUCCAACAAAAAUCUACAACUAAUUAUAUAUACUCCCUCUGUUUCAAAGUGUGUAUGCACAAGAAUUAAAGUAUACACUCUUUUCUAAAAAGUAAUAUUGAAAAUAUAAACCAAAAUUAAUUCAGCCAAUCCUCAAAGAUAAAUAUAAAACAUCAUUGAUCACACACUUUUCAAUAAAACUAAGAUUAAUAUAAAAAUUCAAAACAUCAUCUAUUUUGAAACAUCAAAAACUUUCCAAAACAUCAUCUAUUUUGAAACGGAGGGAGUAUAUAUAUAUGUUCACAUAUGGUUUUGUAUCAUAGAAAAACAAAUAGUCUAUUUGGAAAAGAAGAACUACAAUGUCGUUAAUAAAAUUAGCUAUUUUUUGCAUUAUCCUCGUUUCUUUCGUUAGUCUUCAUGAUUGUAUGUCAUCUAAAGGUUUCGCAAUAAAUUUCAUGCCCUGCAAAAAAGGAGUUGCUGGUGACUGGUGCUGCACUAAAGGAGGGUUAGAAUGCACAAAGGACCACGCAGAAUGUGCGCAAAGCUGCCUUUAACAGGCUAAACCUUAACCAAAUUGUAAUUUUUUUUUAAAAAAUAAUUUUUAAUAAAGAAAUCUUUCCCUUACUAGCAAGAUGGAGUAUAUAAACCUAUAAACCAAAUCCAUAGAUAAUUUGGUUAUUUUAAGUGUAUAUGUGUAAAUUUUUAUAUAUUAUUGUGCAAAUGUGAUAUUUUCUUAUCACUUAUCAAAUAGUAUGUUUGUAAUAUUAUAAAGUUACGCAUUAAUGUUUAGGUAUAUUUAAAUAUUUUCUUACGUAUGCUAUGAAUCCUUUUUAUAGGAUCGUUAAAAGAUACUCCCUCCGUUUCAUAAUACUUGAUGUUUUGUAAUAGUGCACGAAGAUUAAGAAAAUUACAUUUUCCUAGAAAAAUAUUUUAAAGAUAUAAUUUUAAAAUCACUUAACUAAUUAUAAAAAAGACUGUAAAAUCUAAUUGGUUGAACAGUUUCCAAUAAAGUUAAAAUUAACCUUAAAAUCUCAAAACUUCCUUAAAAUCUCAAAACUUCAUGUAAAU